UGAGGAAUAUUGGACAAUGGGCGCAAGCCUGAUCCAGCCAUGCCGCGUGCAGGAAGAAGCAUCGAGGGUGUGUAAACUGCUUGUGUACGGGAAGAAACACUCCUACGGGGAGGAGCUGGACGGUACCGUAAGAAUAAGGAUCGGCGAACGCCGUGCCAGCAGCCGCGGUAAUACGGAGGAUCCAAGCGGUAUCCGGAAGCAGUGGGUUUAAAGGGUCCGUAGGCGGUUUAAUAAGUCAGUGGUGAAAGCCCAUCGCUCAACGAUGGAACGGCCAUUGAUACUGUUCGACUUGAAUUACAAGGAAGUAACUAGCAUAUGUAGUGUAGCGGUGAAAUGCUUAGAUAUUACAUGGCAUACCAAUUGCGAAGGCAGGUUACUACUUGUGGAUUGACGCUGAUGGACGAACGCGUGGGGAGCGAACA
rnacentral:rRNA from 1 species